UACGUAGGGGGCGAGCGUUGUCCGGAUUUAUUGGGCGUAAAGAGCUCGUAGGCGGUUACGCAAGUCGGGUGGGAAAUCUCCAGGCUCAACCUGGAGCCUUCGCCCGAUACUGCGUUGACUCGAGUCCGGUAGGGGAGUGUGGAAUUCCCGGUGUAGCGGUGAAAUGCGCAGAUAUCGAGAGGAACACCUGCGGCGAAGGCGGGUUGCUGGGCUGACACUGACGCUGAUGCGCGAAAGCUAGGGGAGCGAACGGG
rnacentral:rRNA from 1 species